ACGGGUGAGUAACGCGUGGGAACAUACCCUUUUCUACGGAAUAGCUCUGGGAAACUGGAAUUAAUACCGUAUACGCCCUACGGGGGAAGGAUUUAUCGGGGAAGGAUUGGCCCGCGUUGGAUUAGCUAGUUGGUGGGGUAAAGGCCUACCAAGGCGACGAUCCAUAGCUGGUCUGAGAGGAUGAUCAGCCACAUUGGGACUGAGACACGGCCCAAACUCCUACGGGAGGCAGCAGUGGGGAAUAUUGGACAAUGGGCGCAAGCCUGAUCCAGCCAUGCCGCGUGAGUGAUGAAGGCCUUAGGGUUGUAAAGCUCUUUCACCGAUGAAGAUAAUGACGGUAGUCGGAGAAGAAGCCCCGGCUAACUUCGUGCCAGCAGCCGCGGUAAUACGAAGGGGGCUAGCGUUGUUCGGAAUUACUGGGCGUAAAGCGCACGUAGGCGGAUAUUUAAGUCAGGGGUGAAAUCCCAGAGCUCAACUCUGGAACUGCCUUUGAUACUGGGUAUCUUGAGUAUGGAAGAGGUAAGUGGAAUUGCGAGUGUAGAGGUGAAAUUCGUAGA
rnacentral:rRNA from 1 species